rnacentral:lncRNA from 1 species
AUAAAAGGGUUUAGUAAAUGUAAUUAGCACAAAAGUGAGGUAUUUGGCAGACAAGUCUGUAUUUAUAGGCAUUAGGCCUAAUAAUUAACAUUAAUUGUAACUGUCGUAUCGUUUAUUUCUUUUAACGUAAUAUUCGCUCAUUAAGACCAUUAAUUAUCCUUCGAUACUACCUUUCCCGGCCGGUCGACAACCUUUUUAUGCUACAAAAGGCAUUACCUUUCACCAUGGGCCCAACCGAUUCGCCACACCUUCAUACUUCAUAUAUGACUGCCAUUUACUACACACCCGACCGACAGGCUACCCUCGUAUACUACAUAAGCCCCCCAAGCCUCGAGCGAUAUGGUGAACGAAGGGGUUUUAUGAGCCUAGCCGUUGAACCAUUGCGACAGUUUGCCCUCAAACCUUCCUCCUCACUCCGUUUGAAAAGGUUGCGAUUUGUCAACC